AGUCACGUAGCUCAGUUGGUUAGAGCACCACCUUGACAUGGUGGGGGUCGUUGGUUCGAAUCCAAUCGUGACUACCA
rnacentral:tRNA from 6 species